GAGUCACGGCAUUGACCAAAAUAAGUCCUUAAGACAUCCCAAUGGAGAGAUGCCAUCCAGUGAGGUGGUAAGAGGCGGAUGAGUGAAGGGGAGAGAAAAGGGUAGUGACAGUAGCAGCAGCCGGGAGACAUUGAAGAACUGGGGAGAAGCUCUUAGGGGAGGAAGUGACAUUGGAGCCAACAUUUGAGUGAGGGGAUCAGGUCAACCAUGGGAAAGGACAAAGGAAAGAGAAUCUGCAGAAGCCCCUGAGAAGCAGCAACCACAGGAGGCUGGCAGAAAAGUCCGCAUUGCAACCUCAGACAGUAAAGAUUUAGGUCAGUACGUUUAGCUCGGGCAGUCCAGCCUGUCCAGUGGCACUAUCUUUUCUCCCUCCAACUAAUGUCCUUUUUCUCCCCAAGUUCAAGUUCUUGCCAGUUCCUUGGACACAUCCUAAUCAGACCUAGAACAGCCUAGAAACUUCUGGCUAAUUUGGACCUGAGUAAAACUUUUGUACCAUGAUGCCGUGUAAAGAGAUUCAAUUAUGGUGCGCAAUGUUUUGUGAGUAACUACCACCCAUAAAAAGUUAAUUAAUCAGGGCUGUGUCAAUUUCCUCGUGCCAUGUCAAUUUGCUGCCAGGUAAUUAAUCACUAAUCACCCACCAAGCAGCAGGCUGGGGGGACAAUCCGCAAGCCAUUUAUUGUCUUUUUCCCAAAUAAAUGGCACGCGCAGCAAGGAAGAAACACAUCUUGCCUUUCAUAAUAUUUUUAUCGACACUUUUGCAAGUUGUAAUAGACUGCGGCAACAAGCAGCUGUAGUUCAAUGGAAUAUGGAUAUUAAAGAAACAAAUGAGCGGAGAUUUAUAGGACAUUGCGUUCCUGUUAUGUCAGUUUUGAGAUUAAACCCAGCAAAUGAACAGUGAAAAAUUACUCUUCCAUGUGGGGAAUGGUGAUUAGCCUUGUACAUUAAUUAGAAAUUUUUGUUUUCCUGUUCAAUGCAUCUCAAAUGAGGAUGUCCUGUAAGGAACUGUUUGUCCAAAAUGUGGAUUUAUUCACUUCUAAACAGCGGUAUUUAAUAUCAACAUGCAUUUUGAAAUGAAACAAGAGUCAAUCCCAAAUGUGUGUUUCAGGGAUAGAUAGACAAGACUAUGAGAAUCAGAGAUUCCAACAAAUUAAGUGGCUAUUCUGGUCAUUUUGUAAAUGACUGAAUGGGUGGAACACCCCCUUUUUCUCCCCAAACCUUGAAAUUGCUGAAUUUGGACAAAAUUGAGAGCCUUUCCAUUUUUGUUUUGACCUAGAACUAAAUGUGCUUCUUCAUAUUAAAUUCCCCAUUUAAUGUCAUUGAAAGAUAGUGACCUAGUUGCGUAUAAAUUCUGUCUUAAGCCAAUUUGAUGUACUUUUGUUUGAGAUCCAUUUUGAAAAAAUAAGCAAACACUUCUGUCAUUUGGAAAAAAUAAUCGCUUUUUUUUCUUGACUAUUCAUUGUGAUGUUUAUCACACAGUGCUGUGCCCCCACAAUUGAGCUAUAGCUGGCUGUUUAUUUCACCUCGGCAUAUUACCUACUAUGCCACUUCUUAAUUUAUGGUCCAACACAUGGAACAGGAGUCCCCCCAAGGGUAAUCCUGCAGACCUGUGAACCUGCUGUUGAAAGCAUGUCUGCACCCCCAGAAUCGUGUGAGCAUUUCCUAGCAUAAAUUACCCACAGAACAAUUCAACCCCAAAUUAGCACGGACAUCUCUCAGUCUUAAACCAUUCAAAGGGUGGGGAAAGGUGGCAUGUUGGUCCGAAGGGAGAGAAGAGAGGGACAAAGAGAAAGCCCUCUUCUCCAUUCUGAUGGCACACCUUUUCUAGGGCAUCUGGCAACCUCAUGCAAAUUCAAACCAGCGCACAAAUGCAAAGAAUAAUUGCCCAUUACGGCGGCUGUAUAUUUUUAUGGCUUUGAUGCAGAAUCUGACCCCCUGUUGGCUUUUGCAUCUGCUACGCUCCCAUCUCUCCCAAAGCUCUAAAACUUUAAUAUGCACUUUAUAACCCUCAAGUAUUUUCCACUGGUUUUGUGUUUCUUCUUCGGGGAUUUCUGGGCUGGUGAUAUGAUCUCAUUUGUGUUUAUUUCGAAGGUAAGCACCAUAUUCGUAAAAGAGACAGAGGGGGAGAACACACGUUUGUCACUGUAAAUACACGGAGUGCAGAGCUCAGAGAAGGUGGGAGGUGGGGGCUUUGUCUUCGAUGGGAGACAGGCAGUAAGCAGUUGACACUUUGGUAAAUGGCCCAUUUGCCUGGUUGAUACACCCACACAUCUUCCGUUUAAAAAUGUUGAUUUGCCUUGAUACUUGAGCACAUCACAGCAUGACUCUCGUUACAUCCCUAAAGUUUCCAUUCCAUUGAGUUCCAUGGUAUACAACUCCUCAUGCCCAAGAACUGAGAGCGUUAUUCUACUAACCUCCCCCAAAAUAUGCUCUGGGUAUAAAUCUAGCUGAAGGUUGGGAGUGGGUAGGCUAGGAAUGUUGAUAUGUCAACAAGAUGUGCAAUUGGUAUUUGCUCCAAAAGCUCUUGCCCUGUUUUCUUUGAGAGAAACUCAUUUUUAGCUUAUGAGCUAAAUCCAAUUUUCGUUGCAGUGAUACCAGAUUUUUCACUUUGAUUCAUGCUGGAUAAGGUUUAAGAGGGAACCUUUCCAGUAUAAUGAACCUGUGUUUUUUUCCCCUCUUCCCUUGUCUCCCUCAUGCCAACAGCUAAGGAUUUAUACUGUAUCCACAAAGCGACCUGAAUCCUUUCCAUUGUUGCCCAGUGAUGGUCUCUUUACAUGUUUAUUAACUGGAAGGAAGUUCAACUAGAAAAAAAAUCAAACUCCAGCAUUAGGGGUUUAGAAAUGCCUAUAAUUUGGUGUCUUUUCUUUCUAACAUUGUUCUUUAAUUAACAAAGUGGCUUUUACAAACAUGGGACAGGGUGACAGGUUUAUGGCUUUGAUUAACAAUGAUUUACUCCGUUCCAGAAAUGGAGAGGACAUUGUGAGUUUCCAUUUGGCAUUUUGCAUUAGAUUUAUUAAACAUUUAUUACCCACUCACUGGAUCCAAACUCCCAAACUGGGGCAUUGAUAGACAAUGUGAUAACUUUGACUCAACAAGCGAUAGGUGUGUCAUGUGCCAAAGUCAGCACAUAAUUGAGAUGUCUUCUUUCUAUGUGGUUCAAGGAUAAAGCCAUUUCACUGUUGCUUAAUCUCUGCCUGAAUCAUCUGUCUGGGUAAUUGCUUCAAAUAUGCAUUUAACCAUGUCCCAGCACCUCCAAGCCAAUGCACCUGGUAGGAAAGCAAACAGACAAAUCAGCUGUUGUUGGAUUUGUCUUGGAAUUGACCACUUGUCUUAGAGGAAAGAGAAGAGAGCCACUCGAGAGUCCUAAACCAGCUGUGGGAGGAUGGGGGGAGACUCCUCUAUUGGAGAUGAGGUGAAAUACUGAAGGCUCAGCUACAAAUGAGAGAAGUUAGGGAGUAGAAGGAAUGUUAUUUUCCGUUGUUACUUGUUGCAUACAUCGAUUGCGCCUGGAGACUGAGAUUGGUUGAGUUGCCAGAGAGACUGUCUGGGGCUAUGUGAGGGAAGGAACCUGACCUCACAGGCCUUUUGAUGGGUAUCACCUGUCUGGAGGUUGGGGUGGGGGGUGGCAUUUGAGUUCCACUUUUCUCCAGAACAAGAAGCUGAUCUCCCAUUCCUGACACAGCACAGCAGUGAAAGCGAGUUUCAAUGAACGAAGGUUUUGCAAGACUUCCAAGUGUAAUAGUUUGAUCUAAGUCCUCUCCCUUUUAAUCAGAAGCACACGUGUCCCAAGCAUGGUUGCCAUUCCUGGGCCAGUGCAGCACCUGUAAAGUAUGGAUGUAGAACUUACUUGUAUAGGGAUCAUGGCUAAGAUCCUAUUGUGGCCUUUGCCCACUGUGUAUGUGCAAAUCCCCGGCAGGACACUUUGUAUGGAGGGCAGUGUCAGGGAAGGCAGAAGGUGAAGAGGGAGUGCCUCUACUGUCCCCGAAGGAGGGACACUAACAUUGGUUCACCUCCUCCAAAGGGUAUCCAGGCACCUGCUCUGUGCUCUGGGCACUCUUCUGAAUCAAUAAGCAGAACAUAGGGAGAUCUCUGCCCUCAUGGAACUUACACUCUAGCAAUAGCAAGAGUCUAAGCCACUUGAUGGCUGGUAGACCUAGAGAGCUUUGUGGCAGAUUUCUUCCAAAGGAGAUUAAAACAUAAAUAAAAGAAGGAAGGAGGGAAGGAAGGAAAGAAGGAAGAGAACGAAGAGAGGGGGGAGAAAGGAGGACCAGAAUAAGAAGGGAGGAAAGUAAGAAAGGAAAGAGGAAGGAAAUGUUCAUUAAUCGUGAUGACUAACUAGAGGCUUCGUAAAGAGAUCCCUUGGCAGCCUGAGACUGGUAACAAAAAAGAGAGAGGUGAGCAAACCCUCCAUCUGGGAGACUCAUACUUCCUCCAUGAAGCCUCUGGUCCAAAGCAUGAACUGUGGAACCCCCUUAUUUUGCCUCAGGGCACUUGGCCUCCCAAAAACGUGAUUUUUAAACCAGGAGUCGAUGUGUUCUCCCUCCUCUGUUCCUUUAACAAAGUAGGAAUCCCUCUCGUGUGCCCUGCUUGGAGAAACCCCCCAAAUCCUUGCAUUAAGACCUGUAGCUACCUUAUCCUGCAUCGGCAGAGACAUCUUCCCCCUGCAGCAGAGGGGGUCCAAAUGAACUCCUGGCUCUAUAUCCUCAGCGGCUCGUGCUGUCGAGCUUCUGUUUCAUGUUGUAUCUCAACAUCUAAAUCCUCCAAGAAUUAUUGUAAAACCUGCUUGUCGCUGAGAGGGAUCUGGUCUCACUCACUGUGCACCGUAGCCAGCGAUAAUGAAUGGGUCAGCAUAAUUACCGUGUUUCCUCACACAGGCAGCCAGCUGCUCUGCCAGAUUGUGAAUUUUUCAUUUUCUUUAUUUCAAAAUGCAGGGCGUUCCUAUGAAAACUUAAUGUUUGAGCAGCAAGACAGACUUGCAGUCAAAGCUGUGUGCUUGCCCAUUUUCUCCCCAGUCCGGAAGCAAACGUCUCAGAUCUCAUUACUUCUGGGCUUUUACGGUGUUCGGAAUUAUUGGCUUUCCCCAUUAAGACUGACACCUCUCUGUAAUUUCAAGCACAUUAGUUGUAACACAAGUCAGGAGACGUGGGUGCAUUGGGGGCUGGCAAGCUGAGAAUUAAGGACAGCUGUGCGAUUUGUCUUUCACGGCAAUAAAAAAAAAAAAAAGGUUAAAAAUAACCUGUAUGGUCUUUUCCAACACAAAUAGACAAAAUCAUUCUGACUCGGUUCUAUGAUCCCAGCAUUUUGCCCUCCGUCGUGAGAGAAAGAUAUGGUGGAAUCCAUGAGAACACGAAGAGAAUUCCAGAUGAUAGCCAGUCUUCAGGUUGGAAUCAAGGGGUUUAGUCUAGUCUGUGCAAUUCUGCGAGAUGGUAUGGAAUUGGGGCUUUUGUGGGAGACGCCAUGGCCUCGUCUCCCCAUCUCCUGCCCUCCCCCACUGCAUAACUAGGACAUAGAGUGUCCGAGGACUCCACAGCCAGUGAAGAGAUGGGAUGGAGGGCUUCUGCUCCUGAAUGUGGUGGAGGAAGGGGAGAAGCCCCUCCAUGGCAGUUUGGAUAUAAGGUGGAGGCAACUUCAACACCGCAUGAAACAGGACACCCUGUGAGCAGUUAGGUGUUCCCCCAAAAUGAGCUCCUGGAGAGAGGUCUGUGUGCCCUGAUUAUCUCCUUUUGAGAGCCUCCCUUGUGGUGGGACGACCUGAGCUUGUAUGUUCAUAUCACGCCCAAAGACACUGUCCAUACAAACACCGCAUGAACAAGUCCCAGGAGAGAGGGAGCAGGGGAGGGGAGUGCACAGAGGAGGAAAUCCUUCCAGCCCUGCUCUGUUUUACCUGUGUCUCCCUCCCCCUGGAAAGCUCCUGUUCUGUUAGAGACUGGUAGAUGGGAGAAGAAGCUGGGGACAAGGGUGGGGUGGGGGGAGGUUGACUGGAAACUGCCCAUCACGUGGCCUCUCCACAACCUACAACUUCCUCCACUUGUUGCUGUAGUGAAGCCACCCCUGCAUCCAUUCAGGGGUCCAAUAUUGAGAGCCCACUGUGAAUAAGAUCGGGGGGCUUCUGCCGACUUGGGGAGGCACGUGCUGGAGAGGCCAAGAGGAGCUUGCCCGUUCUUUGGAGAUAGAAAAGGUAACACACUCGGCAUAGCAAGAGCCCUGUGAGAUGCAGACAAGUAGGAACAGCAGAAGUGGUUUCCUGAAGCCGGGGGCGGGUGGGCGGAGGGAGCAUUGUCUCAGAAUUUGCAGACCCCCCCCAGGAGGAAGGACAUCCCAGGCAAGAGAAUGAAGAUCAGGGGUCUCUGGCUUCAGGCUUCAUUUCCCUCAUGACUCCUCAGCAAGCCAUCCUGCUCAGAGAAUUUUUCCCCCAAGGAGGAAAAACCCAGCUCACACCCUCUUCUUGAGAGUUGAGUUCCCAGACUUCUGUGUGGUUAUAUAAGGUUGUUGUACGUGUCUUCAAAGCUGUUAAGUGGUUUGGGGGCUGAUGGGGGUCACUGGUAACCAUUUGUUUCUGGGAGCAUAAAGGGUUUGCACAGUUACGAUACAUGCACGUGUCCCUAGGAACUUUGUAUUGCAAUUUAAAAAUUUUAACAAGCCAUAGAUGGACAUCAAGGAAAAUGUGGGAAAUAAAUAAAAACAAGAUGGGGAAAGCAGUGAAUAGACAACACACACACAGUUCAGCACCAGAGAUAACUAAGAACACACUGAAAUAUGUGUGCGUAUGUAUACAAAAUUAUAUACAUACUUGAACAUAUAUGUACGCAUAGUACACGUUCACAUAGACGUGUGCAUUAUACAACACGAUAUAAACACGGGCAUGCAUAUUCACUCACAUGCACGCACGUGUGUGUAUACACCAUAUUCAUGUAUGUUGUAUGCUCACACAUAAAUAUUACACACAAUAUACAUGUGUGUAUAGACAUGACAGAUGUUGACAAUACAAUGCACAUACAUCUUACAGUCUACCUUUGUAAAAUUUGAACUCUGUGCAGUGAGCUUGCUUCCCGUUGUUAAGAAGUCUUUGUAAAUGUUUGUCAUUUACCGUAUUCUCUUGGGCACGGGGACCACCGCCUUAAGUAGCCCGUCCUGCCUGGACUCGGACCUUGGCCUCCACCCCGCUGCCCGCCCUUUACGAGCCUGAUCCUGGACAGGGGGCAGGUGUCCAGCUUCCGCCUGCAGGGAGAAGGGUCCUGGCAGGGGGCCGCGUCGCCCUCAACAACAGGUGUGCUUCUGAAAGCCUUUGCUCUGCUCUCUCCUUUCCGCCCCCGCAG